rnacentral:rRNA from 1 species
AGUGAACGCUGGCGGUAGGCCUAACACAUGCAAGUCGAACGGCAGCACAGUAAGAGCUUGCUCUUACGGGUGGCGAGUGGCGGACGGGUGAGGAAUACAUCGGAAUCUACUUUUUCGUGGGGGAUAACGUAGGGAAACUUACGCUAAUACCGCAUACGACCUACGGGUGAAAGCAGGGGAUCUUCGGACCUUGCGCGAUUGAAUGAGCCGAUGUCGGAUUAGCUAGUUGGCGGGGUAAAGGCCCACCAAGGCGACGAUCCGUAGCUGGUCUGAGAGGAUGAUCAGCCACACUGGAACUGAGACACGGUCCAGACUCCUACGGGAGGCAGCAGUGGGGAAUAUUGGGCAAUAGGCGCAAGCCUGAUCCAGCCAUACCGCGUGGGUGAAGAAGGCCUUCGGGUUGUAAAGCCCUUUUGUUGGGAAAGAAAAGCAGCAGGUUAAUACCCCGCUGUUCUGACGGUACCCAAAGAAUAAGCACCGGCUAACUUCGUG